CGCAUCUGUGCAUGCAGCAUAUCAAUAAGCGGAGGAAAAGAAACUAACAAGGAUUCCCUUAGUAACGGCGAGUGAAGCGGGAAGAGCUCAAAUUUGAAAUCUUCAAGGUUUUACCUUGACGAAUUGUAGUUUAAAGAAGUGUUUUCUGUUGAAGUUUUGGUAAAAGUUCUUUGGAAUAGGACAUCAUAGAGGGUGAGAAUCCCGUAUUUGACCAUUAUUUUCAGCUGUGUGAUACACUUCAAAGAGUCGGAUUGUUUGGGAAUGCAGUCCAAAAUGGGUGGUAAAUUUCAUCUAAAGCUAAAUAUUGGCGAGAGACCGAUAGCGAACAAGUACCGUGAGGGAAAGAUGAAAAGAACUUUGAAAAGAGAGUUAAACAGUACGUGAAAUUGUCAAAAGGGAAGCGUUUGACACCAGUGUUGUUUUCUCGAAAAUCAAUUAAAAAGAGUUAGAUUUUGUUGUGUAUUGACCUUAACAGCUUGCAUUUCAAUUUUCUUGCUUUUUUUAAUGCACUUUUCGUUUAACAAGUCAACAUCAGUUUCUUUUGUUGUAAAAAGGUCAUUGGAAGGUGGCUUUCUUUUCGGAGAAAGUGUUUAUAGCCUUUGACUCCUGCAAUCGGAGAGACUGAGGUCUGCAGCGUAGAUCCUUCGGGGUUAGAUACAUUUGUGCUAAGUUAUAGCUUUUUAUAGACAACUUGUUGACUAUGAUUAGUCUUGUAGCUUACUCGCUUAUGCUAUUUUACCUACGCUUAGGAUGUUGAUGUGAUACUGCGAGCA
rnacentral:rRNA from 1 species